UUGAGGUCCUUCAUUUGGUUUCAAUCUUUAUUCUCAUCUUAGUUCCUACAGUUAUAUAAUUUCUAAGUUGUAUUCGAUAAUUUGAAUUUCAUGGUUUAUUUAGGUGUCUCAUUCAUUUUAUAUCAAUAUUAUAUAAAAAAUUAAAAAUUAAAAAUUAUCUUAGUCCCCCCCCCCCCAAAAAAAAAAAAACUAUCAGCUACAAUUUUUGAAAAUAAGUUUGUUAUAAAGCAUAACUCUAUGAUAUACGUUUCUUCUA
rnacentral:lncRNA from 1 species